rnacentral:tRNA from 2 species
GGAGGUGUUGCUGAGUGGUUGAA